rnacentral:rRNA from 1 species
GACGAACCGUGCGAACGUUGUUCGGAAUCACUGGGCUUAAAGGGCGCGUAGGCGGUCUGCCAAGUCCGGGGUGAAAGCCCCCAGCUCAACUGGGGAAGUGCCUUGGAUACUGGCGGACUUGGGGGAGGCAGGGGUUGUGGGAACUUCCGGUGGAGCGGUGAAAUGCGUUGAUAUCGGAAGGAACGCCGGUGGCGAAAGCGCACAACUGGUCCUCUUCUGACGCUGAGGCGCGAAAGCUAGGGGAGCAAACAGG